UACGAAGGGUGGCAAACGUUGCUCGGAAUCAUUGGGCGUAAAGCGCGUGUAGGCGGCCUUGUAAGUCCGUUCUGAAAGCCCGGGGCUCAACCCCGGGAGGCGGAUGGAUACUGCAAGGCUCGAGUCCGGAAGAGGCGAGUGGAAUUCCCGGUGUAGCGGUGAAAUGCGCAGAUAUCGGGAGGAACACCAAUGGCGAAGGCAGCUCGCUGGGACGGUACUGACGCUGAGACGCGAAAGCGUGGGGAGCAAACAGGG
rnacentral:rRNA from 1 species